GCAGCCUGCAACUCGGCUGCAUGAAGCUGGAAUCGCUAGUAAUCGCGGAUCAGAAUGCCGCGGUGAAUACGUUCCCGGGUCUUGUACACACCGCCCGUCACACCGUGGGAGUAGGUAAUGCCCGAAGUCGGUGACCUAACCGGAAGGAAGGAGCCGCCGAAGGCAGGACUUAUAACUGGGGUGAAGUCGUAACAAGGUAGC
rnacentral:rRNA from 1 species